rnacentral:rRNA from 1 species
UACGAAGGGGGGCUAGCGUUGCUCGGAAUCACUGGGCGUAAAGGGUGCGUAGGCGGGUCUUUAAGUCAGGGGUGAAAUCUGGAGCUCAACUCCAGAACUGCCUUUGAUACUGAAGAUCUUGAGUUCGGGAGAGGUGAGUGGAACUGCGAGUGUAGAGGUGAAAUUCGUAGAUAUUCGGAAGAACACCAGUGGCGAAGGGCGGCUCACUGGUCCGGUACUGACGCUGAGGUGCGAAAAGCGUGGGGGAGCAAAACAGG